ACCUCCAGGUCACUUGUUAAAUUAGAAGAAAGGAAUUAAGAAUUGCCUUUUACAGUCAUGGUGGGGAAGUCAGAGACACUUGAGUGAUAGAAGUGUUCCAGCUGGACAGCUGAGGCUGGAAAAACAAGGUAUUCUCUAUUGGAAAACAAAGGACAAUUGUUCAAAUGAGGAUGGAAGUUCCAAGCUAAGACUUGAAGAAUUAUACCGUUUAAGAGCUGGAAAAAAAGACUUCUGUGGUCCUCUGGAUAGGGUCAGAAUAGGAAAGUGGAGAUUCAGUAAAUGACAUGAUUUGCCCCAUCCAUCUCCUAUGGCUAGCUGGUUCCCGAGUCAGUUCUCUUGAUUGCCAGUCUAAAUCUCUCCUAGGACAAUAACAGGCUGCUUGCUCACCAGAGAUUUCCCUGAUACAGUAAAGGAAGCCACCAGAAGCAGGCCUCCCUGGAGAGUUGGACUGGACUCAAUAGCAGUAAGGCGUCAGUCAGGAAGUAUGUUGGAAGCCAAUGGGAAGUGGUUAAUUUCCCAGACUUCCUGAAGGCUCUGUCCUAAGAUACUUCCCCUUUGAGCUGGCCCAAGAGGAAGAGCCAUAGGGUUUAUCCAAAUGGGAAGCAGCCCACAUGCACGUAAAAUGAAAGUCAAUGAUACCUAUAUUUACCAAGAUCAUAAAUAAAACAACUGAAAUGUUGUUCUCUUCUCAGCCCAUUCCACUUUAUUUUCCAUUGGCUUAGGCCAUUUCUGUAGCAGGUUGCUACGGUAUUACUGUGGAAUCGCAUCAACAACAUUGGUUUUUUGAGGAAAGUUGUCCACUAGUAAGAUGACUUCCAGGAGGGAAUUGGGUUAAGCCUGCAGAGUACCAUCAUGGGAAGUUGGAUGUGGGGUGCCAAUCUAAGAAAAGGAAUGAAUAAGGAGAAAGGGAAGUCAGAAGGAACAGAGCUAUGACUGUAAAGUGCUGGUGUAGGAUACUGCACCAGUCUAACAUAAUGGGGGCCUGAUCUAUUUGUAGAUCCCUUCAAAUUGAUCAGAUGGUGUUUUUCCCCAUGGAUGAUGUUUGGGAAAUGGCAUCUGGGACAAUCAUAAUGACAUAUGAGGGAAAUGCCUGGAGAGACUGUGCAGCAUGCAUGAACAUCUAUAAUAAUUGCUGCCACAUGAUUGAGAGAAACCUUUUUUUGACUGACUCCAUGGUCAGAACUGUUAGCAUCUUCAAAAAGUCUUUAUUUUAUCUUCAGUGGACCCUGAUGGUACCUUGGAUGAGAGACCAGUAAGGGCCAGGAGUCUGUCCUUCCUUAUUAAGGUCAUUGUCCUCUUUAAGGUCAUGGUGUUCUCUGAGAAAUGGGGCCUAUUUGGUCUUUUCAUUCAUUCUUUCCAUUGUAAUUCCAAUGAGUAGAGUCUUCAACCAUAAUAAGCCACAAGAAUCUAGGAAUUCGGUGUGGCAGCCAACCCAGCUUUGAUACCCCAAAGCAAGGAAUAGCCUUUGGGAGGUAGCUUUCUAGAUUCCCUUCCUGCAAAGAGAAUCAUCUGACAAUCAAGCUAAAUUUGGAUAUGGACUUGGUAGAACCCAUAUCAUGUAGGAAAGGAGCCCAAUUUUGAGCCUACUCCCCUGGAGAGUGGUGAAGGGGAGAGUAUGUUCCAGAGACAUUAGGAGGAAAUGUUUGUACAUUCAUUGUUGUUAUAUCUUCACUCGUGGCAAAGAGAUUGUUACACAAUGAUGAUUCGUUCCUGUUUUUCUAUUUUGAAUCUGGUAUACAAGAUGGAGGAGUCAUGGCUAGACAGCAGUUCCUGUGGGAGAAAAAAAUCUGAGGAUUUUAGAGACUUGAAAAUUCAGUAUGAGUCAACAGUGUGAUAUGGCAGCCAAAAAAUGUAAUGCCUUCCUAUGCUACAAGAACAGGGGCCAGAAUAGGGGUAAAGGUGUGGAGGGGAAGGGUUAUAGUCCUGCCCAAUUCUACUUUGAGACCAUCUGAAGUACGAGGUUCAGUUAUAGGGACCACAUUUUAAGAACAUUGAUAAGCUAGCAAGUGUCAAGGGGGAGCCUGGGAAAUGUGCCACAGAGCAGUUAAGGAAACUGAGAAGAGUCAGUGAGAUUGAUGACCCAAAAAGGGAUAGAAGAGAUCACAGAAGACAAAAUGGACACCUUUGAGGAGCUAAAAUUAAAUAUAUAUAUAUAUAUAUAUGUA